rnacentral:rRNA from 1 species
UACGUAGGGAGCGAGCGUUGUCCGAAGUUACUGGGCGUAAAGCGCGCGUAGGCGGCCAAGUGUGUGAGGCGUGAAAGCCUGGAGCUUAACUCCAGAAUUGCACCUCAAACUACUUGGCUAGAGCAUUGGAGAGGGUAGCGGAAUUCACGGUGUAGCAGUGAAAUGCGUAGAUAUCGAUGAGGAACACCAGAGGCGAAGGCGGCUACCUGGACAAUUGCUGACGCUCAGGCACGAAAGCGUGGGGAGCAAAAGGG